rnacentral:rRNA from 1 species
GAUGAACGCUGGCGGCGUGCCUAAUACAUGCAAGUCGAACGCAUAGCGAAAGGUGCUUGCACCUUUCAAGUGAGUGGCGAACGGGUUAGUAACACGUGGACAACCUGCCUCAAGGCUGGGGAUAACAUUUGGAAACAGAUGCUAAUACCGAAUAAAACUUAGUGUCGCAUGACACAAAGUUAAAAGGCGCUUCGGCGUCACCUAGAGAUGGAUCCGCGGUGCAUUAGUUAGUUGGUGGGGUAAAGGCCUACCAAGACAAUGAUGCAUAGCCGAGUUGAGAGACUGAUCGGCCACAUUGGGACUGAGACACGGCCCAAACUCCUACGGGAGGCUGCAGUAGGGAAUCUUCCACAAUGGGCGAAAGCCUGAUGGAGCAACGCCGCGUGUGUGAUGAAGGCUUUCGGGUCGUAAAGCACUGUUGUAUGGGAAGAACAGCUAGAAUAGGAAAUGAUUUUAGUUUGACGGUACCAUACCAGAAAGGGACGGCUAAAUACGUG